AUGCCUUGCCUGAACGUGUCGACGAACGUGAACCUGGAGGGGGUGGACACCUCCGCCGUCCUCGCCGACGCCUCCAGCACCGUCGCAACCAUCAUCGGCAAGCCGGAGGCCUAUGUGAUGGUUGUUCUCAAGGGUUCAGUGCCCAUGGCAUUUGGAGGUACCCAGGAGCCUGCAGCCUACGGCGAGCUGGUUUCCAUCGGAGGGCUGAACGCUGAUGUGAACAAGAAGCUGAGCGCCGGCAUUGCUUCCAUCCUGGAGUCAAAGCUGUCCAUCCCCAAGUCCCGCUUCUACCUCAAGUUCCACGAUUCAAAGGCCCAUCCUGCACAAGAACAUGCUCAAUGUUUGCAUGCUUUGCAUCAAGAGUAG
rnacentral:rRNA from 1 species